GUGGGGAAUAUUGGACAAUGGGCGAAAGCCUGAUCCAGCCAUGCCGCGUGUGUGAAGAAGGUCUUCGGAUUGUAAAGCACUUUAAGUUGGGAGGAAGGGCAGUAAGUUAAUACCUUGCUGUUUUGACGUUACCGACAGAAUAAGCACCGGCUAACUUCGUGACAGCAGCCGCGGUAAUACGAAGGGUGCAAGCGUGAAUCGGAAUUACUGGGCGUAAAGCGCGCGUAGGUGGUUUUGUAAGUUGGAGGUGAAAUCCCCGGGCUCAACCUGGGAACUGCCUCCAAAACUGCAUGACUAGAGUACGGUAGAGGGUAGUGGAAUUUCCUGUGUAGCGGUGAAAUGCGUAGAUAUAGGAAGGAACACCAGUGGCGAAGGCGACUACCUGGACUGAUACUGACACUGAGGUGCGAAAGCGUGGGGAGCAAACAGGAUUAGAAACCCGUGUAGUCC
rnacentral:rRNA from 1 species